UCCUACGGGGGGCAGCAGUGAGGAAUAUUGGUCAAUGGGCGGGAGCCUGAACCAGCCAAGUCGCGUGAGGGAAGACGGUCCUAUGGAUUGUAAACCUCUUUAGGCGGGGAGCAAUGCCGGGCACGCGUGCCCGGAGGGAGAGUACCCGCAGAAUAAGCAUCGGCUAACUCCGUGCCAGCAGCCGCGGUAAUACGGAGGAUGCGAGCGUUAUCCGGAUUUAUUGGGUUUAAAGGGUGCGUAGGCGGAUUUUUAAGUCAGCAGUAAAAUGUCCGGGCUCAACCCGGACCGGCCGUUGAAACUGGGGG
rnacentral:rRNA from 1 species